rnacentral:rRNA from 1 species
UACGUAGGGGGCAAGCGUUGUCCGGAUUUAUUGGGCGUAAAGAGCGUGUAGGCGGCCAAGCAGGUCCGCUGUGAAACUCGAGGCUCAACCUCGAGAGGUCGGUGGAAACCGUUUGGCUAGAGUCCGGAAGAGGAGAGUGGAAUCCCGGUGUAGCGGUGAAAUGCGCAGAUAUCGGGAAGAACACCCGUGGCGAAGGCGGCUCUCUGGGACGGUACUGACGCUGAGACGCGAAAGCGUGGGGAGCGAACAGG